AAGACGAGGACAGAUGUUGUCAUGACCACCACCUCGCCACCAAACCCUGAUGCUCAGACGGUGAAUGUCGGUGCCGUUGUUGGUGGAGUUCUUGGUGCUGUUGUUCUAAUUAUUAUUAUCAUCGUCCUGGUGAAACGAGGAAUCAUCAGGAGGAGUGAGGAGAGGCUGCGGGGAAGAAGGGAGCAGGAACCAGAGAUGGAGGGAGGAGGAGGAGAAGAAGAACCUGCAGAAACAGCUUGUUAAGCAUCAUGUCAGAGGUGUAGUGGUGGUGGAGGGAUGCUGCUGGAGCGAGAACACAACCAUUCACUACCUGACGGAUAAAAAGCAGAUUCCCAAAGUCUCUGCUGAACUAAGAGACAUUAAGUCAGCGUGUUAGUGUUUUAAAUGUGCUUAUUUGUUGUUGCGCCUGUUUCUUUGUGACUUUACUCUGUUCUGUAGGAAGAAAUAAUUCAUGUCAGUGGAAUGUGAUUUUCACAGAUAAGCUACUGGACAUUGAAUUGUAAUAAGCUGCAUAUUAAUAUGGUUUUAAGAACAUUCAUUGCGUUUUAAAAUCUUUGUUUCAUGACUAAUUGUUAAAUUUAUGACACUGUAAUGACACCAAAAUAAAAUCAUGGUAAACAUCAUCCAUUAAAGAUUAUGUGAUGUUUCUAAUCAGGACUGUUCUAUAUAUAUAUAGAUAGAUAUAUUAUAA